CCUACGGGGGGCAGCAGUGAGGAAUAUUGGUCAAUGGACGAGAGUCUGAACCAGCCAAGUCGCGUGAAGGAUGACUGCCCUAUGGGUUGUAAACUUCUUUUAUCUGGGAAUAAAACGUUCCACGUGUGGGCUUUUGUAUGUACCAUAUGAAUAAGGAUCGGCUAAAUCCGUGCCAGCAGCCGCGGUAAUACGGAGGAUCGGAGCGUUAUCCGGAUUUAUUGGGUUUAAAGGGUGCGGAGGUGGUUUGAUAAGUUAGUUGUGAAAGUUUGCGGCUCAACCGCCAAAUUGAAUUUAAAACUGUCGGUCUUGAGAACAGGAGCGGUAGGCGGAAUGCGUGGUGUAGCGAUGAAAUGCUUAGAGAUCACGAAGAACUCCGAUUGCGAAGGCAGUUUACCGGACUGCAACUGACACUGAGGCACGAAAGUGUGGGUAUCAAACAGGAUUAGAUACCCGGGUAGUC
rnacentral:rRNA from 1 species